UGAGGUGCUGUGGUACCAUGAGGCGCGGGUGCUUAAGAGAUUACAGCAUCGGAAACACACAAUGUUAAAAAACGGAACUUUUGUAAUAAGAAUGAGGAUCAUUUCAUUGAUCUUCCUAGAAAAAAGAUUUGUAAUUUCACUAAUAAGAACAUGAAGGAGGUUAAGAAAUCUCCAAAACAGUUGGCUGCUUACAUAAAUAGAAUAGUUGGACAAACUGUGAAAAGCUCAGAUAAACUGUGUAAAGUGAUCUAUGGCAGAAAGUUCCCUGGAAGUGGGGGCUGUGACAUGGCAAAUAAAGAGAAUGAACUGGCUUGCACAGGCCACCUGCCUGAAAAAUUACACCAUGAUAGUCAAACAUACUUACUUAACUCCAGUGAUUCUGGUUCUUCACAGACAGAAAGCCUAUCAUUAAAACACAGUAGGUUUUUUCCUGAGGUUUCUCAAUUUUUGUUCAGCAGGAAUUUGAGAUUGAAUGUAGCUUUAACUUUCUGGAGAAAGAGAAGUAUAAGUGGACUUGCAGAUUAUUUGUUGAGGAUAGAAGAUCUUGGCGUUGUAGUAGAGUGCCUUCCUGUGCGCACCAAUAGUUUACAAGAAGAAAAACAAUAUAUCUCACUUUGCUGCUGUGUAGACUUGCUGGCUCUAGUAAAGUCACUACUUACAAUCGCAUUUGAAGAAUAUGUCAUAGUUGGUUUAAACUGGCUUCAAGCAGUCACUAAAAGGUGGUGGUCAGAACUAUCAUCCAAAACAGAAAUUAUAAAUGAUGGAAAUACUCGGAUUUUAAAACAACAAUUAAAUGGAUUAUGGGAACAGGAAAACUAUCUUACUUUGGUUCCAGGUUAUACUGGUAAUAUAGCUAAGGAUGUAGAUGCUUAUUUAUUCCAGUUACAUUGAGAAAUUUCAUCUACUAAUGAGCACUUGGUUUUUCAAAACAUUCCUGAACUACAUAAUUAACAAAAAUAAAAAAAAAUCUGGUCUGAGAACUGUGAACUGUGGAAGAAAUCAAAACUAUUUUUUCUUUUAAAAAGCCACAUAAUGAAACCACGAAUGAAACCCUAACAAUCUUCUUCACAUUGAAGUGGAAAAAUAUCCAAAAGGAGCAGCUUCAACUUCACAGAGGUGAAAACGCACUAUGAAAAUUGUUCACCUUUGCUGCAUUUGGGAGUUAUAUGGUUAUUUGGUAACAUUAAGAACUACUGGAUUUUAAUGCAGUCCUGCAUAAGAAUAUAAUUUAUACUAUGUGAAAAAAUAAGAGAGGACUUAUUACUAGGAACCACCAAGACCAAUCAUCAUUAACUUUGUUAAGGUUAUAUUUUAUUCUAAGAAAAAAAAACAAAACUUAAAUGUGUGCAGCUGUUUUCUUAUGAUGAAAAGACUGAAAGUUUAAAACAUGGAAAAAUCAAUAUUAAUUUUUUUUGUUCACA